rnacentral:rRNA from 1 species
UACGUAGGGAGCAAGCGUUGUCCGGAAUCAUUGGGCGUAAAGCGCUCGCAGGUGGUUCGUCGCGUCGUGCGUGAAAGACCCCGGCUCAACUGGGGAGGGUCGUGCGAUACGGGCGGACUGGAGGCCAGUAGGGGGAUGCGGAAUUCCGGGUGUAGUGGUGGAAUGCGUAGAGAUCCGGAGGAACACCAGCGGCGAAGGCGGCAUCCUGGACUGGUCCUGACACUCAGGAGCGAAAGCGUGGGGAGCGAGUCCGG